rnacentral:rRNA from 1 species
UCCGUAGGCGGGCGUCUAAGUCAGUGGUGAAAUCUUACAGCUCAACUGUAAAAUUGCCAUUGAUACUGGAUGUCUUGAAUUAGUGUGAAGUGGUUAGAAUGUGUAGUGUAGCGGUGAAAUGCAUAGAUAUUACACAGAAUACCAAUUGCGAAGGCAGAUUACUAACACUAUAUUGACGCUGAGGGACGAAAGCGUGGGGAGCGAACAGGAUUAGAUACCCUGGUAGUCC